rnacentral:rRNA from 1 species
GGGAGGCGGGGUGCUAUAAUGCAAGUCGAGCGGACAGAAGGGAGCUUGCUCCCGGAUGUUAGCGGCGGACGGGUGAGUAACACGUGGGUAACCUGCCUGUAAGACUGGGAUAACUCCGGGAAACCGGAGCUAAUACCGGAUAGUUCCUUGAACCGCAUGGUUCAAGGAUGAAAGACGGUUUCGGCUGUCACUUACAGAUGGACCCGCGGCGCAUUAGCUAGUUGGUGGGGUAAUGGCUCACCAAGGCGACGAUGCGUAGCCGACCUGAGAGGGUGAUCGGCCACACUGGGACUGAGACACGGCCCAGACUCCUACGGGAGGCAGCAGUAGGGAAUCUUCCGCAAUGGACGAAAGUCUGACGGAGCAACGCCGCGUGAGUGAUGAAGGUUUUCGGAUCGUAAAGCUCUGUUGUUAGGGAAGAACAAGUGCGAGAGUAACUGCUCGCACCUUGACGGUACCUAACCAGAAAGCCACGGCUAACUACGUGCCAGCAGCCGCGGUAAUACGUAGGUGGCAAGCGUUGUCCGGAAUUAUUGGGCGUAAAGGGCUCGCAGGCGGUUUCUUAAGUCUGAUGUGAAAGCCCCCGGCUCAACCGGGGAGGGUCAUUGGAAACUGGGAAACUUGAGUGCAGAAGAGGAGAGUGGAAUUCCACGUGUAGCGGUGAAAUGCGUAGAGAUGUGGAGGAACACCAGUGGCGAAGGCGACUCUCUGGUCUGUAACUGACGCUGAGGAGCGAAAGCGUGGGGAGCGAACAGGAUUAGAUACCCUGGUAGUCCACGCCGUAAACGAUGAGUGCUAAGUGUUAGGGGGGUUUCCGCCCCUUAGUGCUGCAGCUAACGCAUUAAGCACUCCGCCCGGGGGAGUACGGUCGCAAGACU